rnacentral:rRNA from 1 species
GAUGAACGCUGGCGGCGUGCCUAACACAUGCAAGUCGAGCGGUAUAUACUUUAUCAAAUCUUCGGAAGAGAGACGGUAUAGAGAGCGGCGGACGGGUGAGUAACGCGUAGGCAACCUGCCCCAUACAGAGGGAUAGCCUCGGGAAACCGGGAUUAAAACCUCAUAACGCGAAAGAGUCACAUGGCUUUUUCGCCAAAGAUUUAUCGGUAUGGGAUGGGCCUGCGUCUGAUUAGCUAGUUGGUGGGGUAACGGCCUACCAAGGCGACGAUCAGUAGACGACCUGAGAGGGUAAUCGGCCACAUUGGAACUGAGACACGGUCCAAACUCCUACGGGAGGCAGCAGUGGGGAAUAUUGCACAAUGGGCGAAAGCCUGAUACAGCAACGCCGCGUGAGCGAUGAAGGCCUUUGGGUCGUAAAGCUCUGUCCUUGGGGAAGAAUAAAUGACGGUACCCUUGGAGGAAGCCCCGGCUAACUACGUGCCAGCCGCCGCCGUAA